UACUAAUGCUUUCCAUUGUAACGGGUU
rnacentral:sRNA from 1 species